AUUGAACGCUGGCGGCAUGCUUUACACAUGCAAGUCGAACGGCAGCGGGGGCUUCGGCCUGCCGGCGAGUGGCGAACGGGUGAGUAAUGCAUCGGAACGUGCCCAGUCAUGGGGGGAUAACUACGCGAAAGCGUAGCUAAUACCGCAUACGCCCUGAGGGGGGAAAGCGGGGGGAUCGCAAGACCUCGCGUGAUUGGAGCGGCCGAUGUCGGAUUAGCUGGUUGGUGGGGUAAAGGCCUACCAAGGCGACGAUCCGUAGCGGGUCUGAGAGGAUGAUCCGCCACACUGGGACUGAGACACGGCCCAGACUCCUACGGGAGACAGCAGUGGGGGAAUUUUGGACAAUGGGGGGCAACCCUGAUCCAGCCAUGCCGCGUGAGUG
rnacentral:rRNA from 1 species